GCGAAAAGAACCCCGGCGAGGGGAGUGAAAAAGAACCUGAAACCGUGUACGUACAAGCAGUGGGAGCCUCUUUUAUGGGGUGACUGCGUACCUUUUGUAUAAUGGGUCAGCGACUUAUAUUCUGUAGCAAGGUUAACCGAAUAGGGGAGCCGAAGGGAAACCGAGUCUUAACUGGGCGUUAAGUUGCAGGGUAUAGACCCGAAACCCGGUGAUCUAGCCAUGGGCAGGUUGAAGGUUGGGUAACACUAACUGGAGGACCGAACCGACUAAUGUUGAAAAAUUAGCGGAUGACUUGUGGCUGGGGGUGAAAGGCCAAUCAAACCGGGAGAUAGCUGGUUCUCCCCGAAAGCUAUUUAGGUAGCGCCUCGUGAAUUCAUCUCCGGGGGUAGAGCACUGUUUCGGCAAGGGGGUCAUCCCGACUUACCAACCCGAUGCAAACUGCGAAUACCGGAGAAUGUUAUCACGGGAGACACACGGCGGGUGCUAACGUCCGUCGUGAAGAGGGAAACAACCCAGACCGCCAGCUAAGGUCCCAAAGUCAUGGUUAAGUGGGAAACGAUGUGGGAAGGCCCAGACAGCCAGGAUGUUGGCUUAGAAGCAGCCAUCAUUUAAAGAAAGCGUAAUAGCUCACUGGUCGAGUCGGCCUGCGCGGAAGAUGUAACGGGGCUAAACCAUGCAC
rnacentral:rRNA from 1 species